UUCUCUUUUUCCCUUCUUCUUCCUUCUUCUCUCGAUUUUGGUUCACAGAACCAGAAACUACCAUUUCCUUGUUUUCACCUGCGAGAUAUUUAUGAGUUCAGAGUGAGAAUCGAUUGAAGAAAAUCAGUAAUGAAGCUGUAUAGAUGAUGGAGGAGUCGAUGUUGUUGUUGAUUAUGAUCGGGAGGAAGAAGAAAAGGUAAUUCAGAUAGUGUAAUUAGGGAUUUUGUGGGUUGAUGAUUGAUUCAAUAUGAAAUUGGUUUUGAAAUAGAGUAAUUGAAGAUGGGUUUUAGGAACAUACUAUGAAGAAGAUGUUUGUUAGGUUGAUUUGAGGAUUUAGCUAUAGCGAGGCACAUAACAGAGAAAUGGAAAAAUUAGGGUUACCGUUCUUCCCCAAAAUAAAAUCAAGGUUUUCUGAGAAUCCAUGGGGGAGAUGAAGGUUGUUGAGUAUGGGUUAAACUUAAUUGAUGGGUGUUGAUGUUCUUGAGAUGAAUUGUUGAAUAAAGUUAAAGGAGAUAAGAAUUCGACUCCAACUGAGAGAGAAAUUAACUUAAGGUGUGUUCUGGUUUACAUGGAAUUAGUGUUGAUGUGAAUGGUAAUAGAUAUUUUUUAUUUUAUUUUUUGACGCAAAACAUAAUUAUAUGAAUUAAGGACUAUCGUGUUGAAUGAAGUUUAACAAGAAAAUUGGAGGAUUACACAACCAAGUGUUAGAGUAACUCUCUUUUCUAGCA